CCCUUAGAUGUUCUGGGCCGCACACGCGCUACACUGAAGGAGGCAGCGUGUACUCCUGGAUCGAAAGAUUUGGGUAACCCGCGAAUCUCCUUCGUGCUAGGGAUUGAGGUUUGCAAUUAUCCUUCAUGAACGAGGAACUCCCAGUAAGUGCAAGUCAUAAGCUUGCGCUGACUACGUCCCUGCCCUUUGUACACACCGCCCGUCGCUACUACCGAUUGAAUGAUUUAGUGAGGACUUCGGACUGGGACCGAUGCGGCUUUCGGGCUGCGUCGGUAUUCUGGAAAGAUGUCCAAACUGUAUCAUUUAGAGGAAGUAAAAGUCGUAACA
rnacentral:rRNA from 1 species